GGAGGGAGGGAGGGGUGCGGAGAGGGGGGGAAGCUGUGGUGAGAACUGGGGGAGCCGAGGAUUAAAACUACAGAGAGAAACGAAACUCGCCGAUAAGAUAAACGUUAGAUAAGGAUAAAGAAGGGACCGGGCUAAUGAAUAUUCAGGCAACAGCGGAGGGGCUGUGGAGCGCAUUGCGCUCGGCUCUUCCGGACCUACGUUCCCAACUCAUCGAGUCCCGAGUCUCGGCCUCUCCAACAGGCAGGAGCGGGUUUCAGAAGAAUGUGGGCGGCUGUACAGAGCUGGCAGCUAAGGAAACGGGGGAUAACUAAGUCUCUCCCCGGGUGGAGUGAAGAGCCGGCCGCAAAGCAAGGCAAGGGGAGCUCUGUACAGCCUCUUUUUCGGAGCUCGGCAGCGGGCACUGCAGCAAAGCCGAGUACACCGGAGGAAAAACGACAUAUCCUUGGCUUCCGAGCAAUCUCUCCCCAACCUCCUUUCCUCGGAUCUAUUUCACCCGCACUAGGCAGCAGAGGUCCCUUUGUCUCCUAACUGAUCUCUGAAAGGGCAGAUUUUGCAGAGGUCCACGGUAGGAUCUCCCUCUGCCUCUGGGAGUGGGGCUAUAGGGUUGGACAGUAAUCACCACCGUGUCUGCCUAAGAACAUCCUGACAGAAAAAGUUCUGGGCACUGAGGCAGUCACCCAGAAGACCUCACCCUGUUUCUCCAGUGGAUGUUGCGGUGUUGGCAACUCCCAUCUGAAAACUGAAGUUCUUGGAUAAUGUGAAGAAUAUGGGACUCUUCCCAGGGUGGAAUUCACACAGCAGCCAAAUAAAUAUAUCCGUGUCGGCCCCUCCACCCCCCAACCUAGGGGCAUUUACACUUCAAACAAGGCGCCCGCCUCCCUGCGGAAAUUUAAAGGAAAAUAAACUUUUGGGGAGUUGCUCUGAUACCGAUCUCGGGAUUUGCUUCAUUAGCCGCCUCUCUGCAUCUGAUCUGUCCAAUAAAUCUUCCUUGUGGAUCUCGGCUCUGACUCUUUCCCCUCUCCUCCUUCCUUAGGCACUCCUGACUUCUCCCUCCCUCUUAGAACAGGCAGUUUGGUUAGAUAUGAUCCAGGCCCCCUCCAACCUGCUCUUCUCCAGUACCCUGUCUUCACUCGGAACAUGGAGGCCUCAAGGGCUGGAGCCCCAGGUGUUUACUUUAGGUUGGGUGACAUGCCUGUCCACGAUCUUAUUGCUGGAUUUGGGCUACAAAAAUAUGUGCUUGGUAUUGAGCUACAAAGGUGUGGGUAGUACCACAUGGGAUGCUACGGAAAGGUUGUCUAGGUGUAUGUGUGUACAUAUAUAUGUGAAAGGUAGAACCUUAAGUGCGACUUGCAUAUCUAUUGAUUCCAGACCAGUUUUAUUGCUGCAUAUACACAUGCACCAUCUUCUUGCUAUCUAUAUCUAUAUCAACAUCAACAUCUAUAUCUAUAUAUUUUCCUGUCCUUUUGCACAUGUCCCAGUGGUUGCUUGGGAAAGAACUUCAGAGAAGACUAAGGUUAUUCCGUUCUGUUUUGGCGAGAGCUCUUGUGCUCUCCACCCAUCACUAGGGCUUUCAGAAUCUCAGGCUGGGACUUUGAUGGAAGGAGAAAUGGAAGCCAGUGCCUUUAGAAAGGGAGUUGAAGUGUUGAAGGUUUCCCCUUCUUUCCUUGGAUCUUAUCACCGCGCACGGGCCUGAGGGUCGAGGGUUGUGUCCCGGGAGGCCGAGAGUGUCCGGAUCCUACAGCUGUAGCCCCUGCAUAAUGCAAGAGAAUCUCACCCUCGCCCCUCCCCCGCCAGUAGCCCCGCCGCCUCCUGCCUUCCUCCUUACUUCCCUCCCUCCACCUCCCGGAGCGCAGCAAGGGGAGCUGGGGCUGGGGCUCUGAGGGAGGGGAUUAGAAAUUCCGAAAUUAAAUGUAUCUCCCCAGGAAAUGCUCCCCACAGCGCGGACCAAAUUAAACGCAUUAAAGUUCAGAAAAAGCUGUUUAGAACCAAGGGGGGAAAAACUAGUCCAAGGGGA